CCUACGGGAGGCAGCAGUGGGGAAUAUUGCACAAUGGGGGAAACCCUGAUGCAGCGACGCCGCGUGAGUGAAGAAGUAAUUCGUUACGUAAAGCUCUAUCAGCAGGGAAGAAACACUGACCUUACGGUCAGCAGACGGUACCUGAGUAAGAAGCCCCGGCUAACUACGUGCCAGCAGUCGCGGUAAUACGACGGGGGCAAGCGUUAUCCGGAUUUACUGGGUGGAAAGGGGGCGUAGACGGUGCGCCAAGUCUGGAGUGAAAAGCCGCAGCUUAACUGCGGAACUGCUUUGGAAACUGGCGAACUAGAGUGCGGGAGAGGUAAGCGGAAUGCGUGGUGUAGCGGUGAAAUGCGUAGAUAUUAGGAGGAACACCGGUGGCGAAGGCGGCUUACUGGACCGUAACUGACGUUGAGGCUCGAAAGCGUGGGGAGCAAACAGGAUUAGAUACCCUAGUAGUC
rnacentral:rRNA from 1 species